UACGUAGGGUGCAAGCGUUAAUCGGAAUUACUGGGCGUAAAGCGUGCGCAGGCGGUUGUGUAAGACAGAUGUGAAAUCCCCGGGCUCAACCUGGGAACUGCAUUUGUGACUGCACAGCUGGAGUGCGGCAGAGGGGGAUGGAAUUCCGCGUGUAGCAGUGAAAUGCGUAGAUAUGCGGAGGAACACCGAUGGCGAAAGCGACUUUCUGGUCCUUAACUGACGCUGAGGCGCGAAAGCAUGGGGAGCGAACGGG
rnacentral:rRNA from 1 species